UAGCAUUAUACAGUGAACUGCGAAUGGCUCAUUAAAUCAGUUAUCGUUUAUUUGAUAGUACCUUACUACUUGGAUAACCGUGGUAAUUCUAGAGCUAAUACAUGCGUAAAGUCCCGACCUCUGGAAGGGAUGUAUUUAUUAGAUAAAAAAUCAAUGCCUUCGGGCUCUUUGAUGAUUCAUAAUAACUUUUCGAACCGCAUGGCCUUGCGCUGGCGGUGGUUCAUUCAAAUUUCUGCCCUAUCAACUUUCGAUGGUAGGAUAGUGGCCUACCAUGGUUUCAACGGGUAACGGGGAAUAAGGGUUCGAUUCCGGAGAGGGAGCCUGAGAAACGGCUACCACAUCCAAGGAAGGCAGCAGGCGCGCAAAUUACCCAAUCCCGACACGGGGAGGUAGUGACAAUAAAUAACGAUACAGGGCCCUUUCGGGUCUUGUAAUUGGAAUGAGUACAAUGUAAAUACCUUAACGAGGAACAAUUGGAGGGCAAGUCUGGUGCCAGCAGCCGCGGUAAUUCCAGCUCCAAGAGCGUAUCUUAAAAUUGUUGCAGUUAAAAAGCUCGUAGUUGAACCUUGGGUCUGGCUGGCCGGUCCGCUUUUUUGCGAGUACUGGACCCAGCCGGGCCUUUCCUUCUGGCUAGCCUUUUUGGCGAACCAGGACUUUUACUUUGAAAAAAUUAGAGUGUUCAAAGCAGGCCUUUGCUCGAAUAUAUUAGCAUGGAAUAAUAGAAUAGGACGUUAUGGUUCUAUUUUGUUGGUUUCUAGGACCAUCGUAAUGAUUAAUAGGAACGGUUGGGGACAUCAGUAUUCAGUUGUCAGAGGUGAAAUUCUUGGAUUUACUGAAGACUAACUACUGCGAAAGCAUUUGUCAAAGACGUUUUCAUUAAUCAAGAACGAAAGUUAGGGGAUCGAAGAUGAUCAGAUACCGUCGUAGUCUUAACCAUAAACUAUGCCGACUAGGGAUCGGGCGUUGUUCUUUUUCUGACACGCUCGGCACCUUACGAGAAAUCAAAGUUUUUGGGUUCUGGGGGGAGUAUGGUCG
rnacentral:rRNA from 1 species